rnacentral:rRNA from 1 species
UACGUAGGGUGCGAGCGUUGUCCGGAAUUAUUGGGCGUAAAGAGCUCGUAGGCGGUUUGUCGCGUCUGCUGUGAAAACUCGGGGCCCAACUCCGAGCUUGCAGUGGGUACGGGCAGACUAGAGUGCGGUAGGGGAGACUGGAAUUCCUGGUGUAGCGGUGGAAUGCGCAGAUAUCAGGAGGAACACCGAUGGCGAAGGCAGGUCUCUGGGCCAUUACUGACACUGAGAAGCGAAAGCAUGGGGAGCGAACAGG